GUGCUUACUUCAGCAGCACAUAUACUAAAAUUGCAAUGGUACAGAGAAGAUUAGCAGGGCCCCUGUACAAGGAUGACACAGAAAUUCAUGAUGUGUUCUGUAUAUUU